UUUUUUAACAUUGGUAAUAAUGUAACUAAAUUAAUGUCAUUAUGAUCAGUGUUUGUACCAGUGACAAUAUCAAAUGUUUUAUUUCAAAUAUUGUUUCAAACACCUUGUAAGUUGUCUCCGUUCUUCUUAGUCAAAGCUGCUGCUCUCAUUUUGGAAGCUGCUGCGAGUUCUAGCAUGGCUUCAACUAUGGCAACACCACCAGCCUUGCGGUUUCUCCUGCGAGACGGUCCAGAACCACCAGAAGGUGCUGUCGGAAUACGCUUGUUGUGUCCGUUAAUGACGUGUACUUCGUCUCCAGAGCCGCCAGAGGAAAGUUCAUCAUCAUCAUCAUCACCAUCACCAGACAUCAUUCUUCAACAUGCAAAAACCAACGCAAGUGAUUCAGACAGAAGAGAAUGUGCGAAGCUUAGUACAAGACCUUAGCUCAAAGCAUCAAGUUUGAACAAGAAGAAGGUUUGGUUCUGAGAAAAAUUUGAGCGAUUGCUAAUGGCCUCGAACAUUAGGGAUUCUGACAAUUGAGUCCUGUCCCUUAGUUUUGUUUUCUUUUCAUUAGUCGCUCAAAACUUUCAACACUUUAUGUUUUUGGCGUCAUAUUUUAUCCGAUAUCAAAUUAGCCCAGAAUCCAAAAAUAUAAUUUAAUUUGUCUACUUGAGACGAUUAAUCAAGUGGCUAAUCUUCAAUAUCUCCACAAAAAAUAAUAAUUUAUCGACUUGAGAUGAUUAAUCAAGUGGCUAAUCUUCAAUAUCUCAGACUAAAGAUUAACAGAACCUCUUAAACUUAUUACUCAUGAUUCGCCAUGAGUUAAUCACACUGAUAAAUAAAAGAGAAUUGGAAAGAAGAAAGAAAAAUCCAAAGGGGAUUGAUUAUCUAUAAUCUUUACUAAAUUAACAAUCAAACCAUUUUUGCAUAAAGUUUACAAAAGAAAAGAACAAGAACACAAGAAGAGACUCAAAAGAAACUAUAAUCUCUAACAAUAGAUCAGAUAAAGACAUGAAAAGCUUUUUAUUUUCUCUUCAGCUGGGAGCCAAGAAAUGAACACGAGCAAGUGUGUACUCUUUCCCAGCAAUCCAAACACCAGUCUGUGACCAUUGUACAUCUUCCCAAUCCAGAUUCUCCUCCAACACCUGUUUCUCAAUUCCACAAACAUCAUCAUCAUCACUUGUUUUAUAAUUAACAAAAAAAUACAAGAAUUUUACUAAAUUAAUGUUAACCUCGACGUGAUCUGGUGGGAGUGGAAACCCGAUAUCCCGCAUAAGCUUCUGCGGGAGAGGUUUCUUACAUCGUGACCAACGGAAAACAUCAAUUACACUGUUGUCUGAAUCUGUAUCUGUUUUUUCACCGUCUGUUGUCACAUGAGGGAGAGGUUUCCUCCAUCGUAACCAACGGAAAACGUUUAAGGAAAACAUGACAGAGUUGUUAUUGUUAUCCAUCUCCUUAGCUUCUUCGGAUGAUGAGUGUUGUUGUUGGGAGGCUUGGAAUUCUUUCAUAGUCUUCUCUCCAGCGAAACAGAGCUCAUACCUAUUUGCCAUACAAAAGAGUUUGAUUUAGCAUGUAACAAUAUCUCAUUAAUGUUGUUUGAUAUAAACAUGUGUUUAAAUACCUGGAUGAAUGUGUUUCAAGGUACAAAACUUCUCCUUUCUUCAAGCGAGCAGAGGUGAAAAGAGGCUUUUUCAGACCCUUAUCGGCCACAGCGCUUAUGCUAUAUUUGAUCCUGCAAGAAACAAAAAAGAAAAGUAAAUCAAUGCGUGGGUAAAAAGUGAUCUUAGAAGGUAAAGAUUAUCUAAAGCAUUGUGCGGAAGUUUUCAGAGAGUUUACCAAGGUUCAUUGCAGAGGUUGUAUUGUAUUGUUACUUCUCGAACAAACCUUUGUUGCCGCUGACCAUUCUACAGAACGGUAAACAAGUCAUCAGUACUGAAACAUGUCUAAUCAAAUUUUGAAAUGCAAGUGAAGUGAGGGAUAGAGAAUCAGAGAUUUUAAAGUACCGAAGCUGCAGCUCUGGUGGUCAUAGACUUAUCAACAGCCAUUGGUGCAAGUGUUGGCUCUGAGGAGUGUGUAAGAGAGGGUUCCAGUUCUAUAGUUCCACCUCCUUUCUGAAAUAAAAACACCAGUAAGGACUUGAAAAAGAAUCCACUUUUUAAACUGGAUAUUAUGAACAUCCUGCCAAGGAAACAAGGAGGACAGAUAACAAAGAGAUGUCAAAUUAAUAACCUUAAGUAUAUAGCACCGCUCAACUUUGUAACUGCAUCCGAUUCCAGCUCCCCAUGAUCGAGAGCGGACAUUGUUCCUUAGCUUGGAGGUAUAGUCUUAAAAUAUAAUAUAUAUCGAAUAUAAAAAGUUAGUAUGAACAUGGAAAAGUCAAUAAAAGCACAAAGAUAAAAACCUAACUUACAAUCUUGUGACGGCAAGACUCUAAUGGUAGCACGCAACUCUUGCAAUGUCGGUGGAGGAGGGGAAGAUGUAGGACGACAAUAACCUGUAUGCAUGAGAACUAGAAGACAUACCAGAAUCAGUGUUAUGUUAGUUCAAAGCCAAGGCAUGAAAUGCAAAGAUUCUUUAGGACACGUACCAGCAACAAGAUCUGAAUCAUCUGUGUAUAUGUCUGUUCCCCAUAGCUGGCCACCUCUUACCUUCAUAAAAAUAAGCCAAAGGUCUCAAUAUACAAUAAAAAAAGAUUAUGAGAAAGUCUUUGGAUGUAUCUUCGUCUUACUCGGCGGUUAGUAGCAGUAACAUACUCAGCUGGAAUCUGAACUUCAAGAGUGGGGCCAUUACUUGCGAACUCACCACUUUUGUCAGGCUGAGAAGAUUCAUAUUCCUUCCACAAUUUAAUCAGUUCUUGCAUACAUUCCCCAACGUUGUAAACAACAACCGGAACCUCUGAUUCGCCUGGAUCAUUCAGUAAAACAAAAAUUCAACAAGCUGUCGCUCUGACCAAAACUAUGUUCCAUAUAAAAGUUGAUAAAAGCAGCAGAAACUUGAUACAUGUGAGCUCAACCUUAUACUAAUCUUAUACUUGAUAAAAAAAACAAUGCAGAGAUAUAAGCAACUUUAAGCAACACAAAUGAAGUAGCAUUGGGGAUUGAAACCGACUUUUUGGUCCAAUCAUUUUAUAUUUUAACAUUCUACCGUUACUCUGCAACCUAAAGGCAAGCCUAAGAAGGAAACCUCAUAGAUUAAUUAUCAAGUACAAGUGUGUCGCAGAUGACCAUCAUCAAUGCACAUAUAAAAACGAAUGCCAGUUUAACCGAUUAUUUUUCUUUCACUAUUGUUCACCAAGCAGUGCAAAUCGAUCCUUUCUCGAAGACAUAGUAACGAAUGAUUACCUUGUACCCUGCAAAGAAAACACACACACAAUCAAACAUGGAUGAUGCAUUAGAAACCAGAUUAGUGACUGACAAAAGUUUAAGGACUUAGACCAAUCAACUAACUUACAUGGUAAAAGAAACGAAGGGAAAAUAAUCUUCUUAACACAGAGAGUAAGGGAGGCGGCAGGGAAGAAUAUCAAAAGAGACGGCAAAUUUAGGUUUUCAAGGUGCAAAAUUUUCUUUACAGGCUUUUUAAAAGAAAAGAAAACAAUAAUGGUAAUGAGAUAUUCUCAACAAUAAUCAAUAUCGCCUGCAGAUUUUACUAAAUAUGUUCAAAUUUCAACCAAUCCUGGCGUCUCUACUCUCUCCAAAAGGUAAAAAAAAUUAUAGGAUUAAGCUAAGAUAUGAGAGGCUAAUACUAAUUAGACAGCGUCUAAUAUAAAUGCGUAAGACAAAGAGACGCACGCAACCUUCGUAGUUGUCCUGACUCCGUGAACGGACACGGUCGUGGUUUGUGGGCUGUCACAUAUUCCUCUUGUGCAGGUUUUGGCAGAUGCUUCACCGAGCUCUUUCUCGUUCUGUGAGACCUCUUCAGCAUCAGUCUCUAGCUCUCUUUUAAUAUGAUCUUUUUUUUCUUCUCCUUCUUUCUUUCUCCAUCGUUCUGCUCCACCCUCUCUCUCGUUUCCCACCUAUCGGUUUAUUUUUCUUCGCUUCCAGUCUCUUUUGGUUCGCUCAUGACACACUAUCAGCAAACAUUGAUCCUCUGCGGUCAUUUCUAUCCUUAUCACGGGAUGCAACACACAGAUCCACAUUUGCGUUUGAACCUUCACCUCUCUUCCCUCUAUGUUAAUCCUUCUACUCUUUCCAAGCCAAGUGAGCAUGCCCAUCCUUAGUCUCAGCCUUUGUGUCGUUAUAGUUUCUGACCCUCCCUAUCAACACAUUGUUGAAAUGGCGGCUAAUGGUUUCACAAGAGAGGUGGAACCUCUCUUGUAUAACUCUGAUUCGCUGAUUAUGACCUAUAAUGCUUAAGAAUAUAGCAACCUGCUCUUCCACCAGAACAGUGAUGGUAUCUCUCAGCAGUCCUUGCUCUCUAAAAGUGUCGGAUAGUUUGUGAAACAGACGUUUAUCCAUCCGAAGCACUUCCCUGCAAUCUUCAACAGGUCCUUGAAGCAAGUCUUUUAAAUAUGUACCUCUUGUAGAAGGCGAAGUUCCCGGAGGUUGGUUUACUAGACUUUGGUAGUAUAAGUAACCAGCAGCUGCAGCAACUAGCUCCAUCUCAUCUAGUUCUAAGUCUAAAUCGAUGCUACUAGUGGAGGAAUCUGAAAGUAUAGCCAAAAGUACCAGUCAGUGUUCUAAAAAUCGGUCUAUGCGGAGUCUAGCCGUCUGCUUAAGUGGCAAAUCGGAUUUAAAUGGUUUAAGUGUUUGUCCGACUAAUCAAUAAUCCUCUAUAAAGCUCCUAAUUACGGUCUAGCUAUUUUUUUAACAUUGGUAAUAAUGUAACUAAAUUAAUGUCAUUAUGAUCAGUGUUUGUACCAGUGACAAUAUCAAAUGUUUUAUUUCAAAUAUUGUUUCAAACACCUUGUAAGUUGUCUCCGUUCUUCUUAGUCAAAGCUGCUGCUCUCAUUUUGGAAGCUGCUGCGAGUUCUAGCAUGGCUUCAACUAUGGCAACACCACCAGCCUUGCGGUUUCUCCUGCGAGACGGUCCAGAACCACCAGAAGGUGCUGUCGGAAUACGCUUGUUGUGUCCGUUAAUGACGUGUACUUCGUCUCCAGAGCCGCCAGAGGAAAGUUCAUCAUCAUCAUCAUCACCAUCACCAGACAUCAUUCUUCAACAUGCAAAAACCAACGCAAGUGAUUCAGAC
rnacentral:lncRNA from 1 species